GGCGAUGCUGCCCCUUCCCCGCCCUCUAACUUCACGUUACCUACUUAAUGGGGCUUGCAGCUGGGAGAGGGAGGCAGGACUUUGCUCGUACUUUGAACAGAGGAGCUGCACUGACUAUUCUCUAGUCCUCUGGGACCUUGCCUGUGACUGAGGAGAACACAAGGAUCUCUGUCGAGGCCCCAGCAAUCUCCUCAAUAACCUGGGGUGGAUGUCACUGAAGGCCAUUUUGUUGCUGGCGGUGGCUAUUACUUGGCACUAUGAGAAAUCUGAUGGCGGAGGGGAAGAAGCUGUUCCUGAACCAUUGAGUGUGGGUCUUCAGGCUCCUGUACCUCCUCCCUGAUGGGAGAAAUUUCAUUAAAUAAUAACAAGUCACAACUUCGCAGAACUUACCAAUAGACAGAAGAAUGAGUGAUCACUCCGUCUUUGCAGAUCAUUUCUGUUACAUCCUUCAUCUGGCUACAAGCAAAAGAAUUUACAAUGAAAAUUCAGUUUUGUAAUUUAAUAAAGGAA